GUGCUUACUUUGGCAGCACAUUUACUAAAAUUGGGACGAUACAGAGAAGAUUAGCAUGGCCCCUGCACAAGGAUGACAUGCAAAUUCGUGAAACAGUCAUAUUUUUA